rnacentral:lncRNA from 1 species
UGUGGGCAUAUAUUUGAGCUUCUUAUAAACACAUUUAAGAGGAUUAAGCUCUAUACUGGGCAUUUAAAAAUAAUCCAGGUCUGCUUCUGUCUCACAAGAAUAAUAAUGUGUAAUGUGCACAUGUCACAUGCAAGUAACUGCUAGCUAGCUAAGACUAGGCACAUCUGCUGAGGCAUGCUCUCAUGAUGAUAUAAUAAAUAAGUGAACAGAAUGUGUAACAAAUGACCAAUGAUAACAUUACCUUCUGGACUCUUCUUGUCUGACUUGUAGAUUUUAUGAAAAGGAAACAUGAGCAGUUGUUAGAUAUGGUCAAUUCAACUUGGAAACAAAAUGUCCAGCUAAUCCUCUAUAGCUUCUGAAUCAGCUGAAAUUGAAAAUACUGAGAUGGUACUAGGAACUGCUAGGAAAAAAAUCUGUUAUCAUAUACAAUUUGACUGUGAGAAAGAAUUUUCUCUAUACUCUGAGACAAAAACUGAAUACGGAAAUAAAUGUAACGCUGCGACUAAAAUAAGACUACUGUCAUCCAUUUCUCCAAUUUAAACUUUUUAUCUCGGGUCAGGCAUGGUGGCUCACCCAUAAAUGAAGGAUUAACUAAAAUAUCUGCCAAAAUAU